GACAGAGGGGGCAAGCGUUGCUCGGAAUCACUGGGCGUAAAGGGCGCGUAGGCGGGAUGGCAAGUCGGUCGUGAAAUCCUUCGGCUCAACCGAAGAACGUCGGCCGAUACUGCCGUUCUUGAGGGAUGCAGAGGAGAUUGGAAUUCCCGGUGUAGCGGUGAAAUGCGUAGAUAUCGUAAGGAAGACCAGUGGCGAAGGCGGGUCUCUGGACAGUUCCUGACGCUGAGGCACGAAGGUCAGGGGAGCAAACGGG
rnacentral:rRNA from 1 species